GACGAACGCUGGCGGCGUGCCUAAUACAUGCAAGUCGAACGCUUCUUUCCUCCCGAGUGCUUGCACUCAAUUGGAAAGAGGAGGGGCGGACGGGUGAGUAACACGUGGGUAACCUACCCAUCAGAGGGGGAUAACACUUGGAAACAGGUGCUAAUACCGCAUAACAGUUUAUGCCGCAUGGCAUAAGAGUGAAAGGCGCUUUCGUGUGUCGUUGAUGGAUGGACUCGCGGUGCAUUAGCUAGUUGGUAAGGUAACGGCUCACCAAGGCAACGAUGCAUAGCCGACCUGAGAGGGUGAUCGGCCACACUGGAACUGAGACACGGCCCAGACUCCUACGGGAGGCAGCAGUAGGGAAUCUUCGGCAAUGGACGAAAGUCUGACCGAGCAACGCCGCGUGAGUGAAGAAGGUUUUCGGAUCGUAAAACUCUGUUGUUAGAGAAGAACAAGGACGUUAGUAACUGAACGUCCCCUGACGGUAUCUAACCAGAAAGCCACGGCUAACUACGUG
rnacentral:rRNA from 1 species